CAUAGGUGAACCUGCGGAAGGAUCAUUCAUAAUAAGUGUUUUAUGGCACUUUUUUAAAUCCAUAUCCACCUUGUGUGCAAUGUCAGGGUUGAUUUUUCUCUCGAGAGGAUCAGCCCCAAACAUCAACUAUAUCUCAACUCUUUGUCUGAAAAAUAUUAUGAAUAAAACAAUUCAAAAUACAACUUUCAACAACGGAUCUCUUGGCUCUC
rnacentral:misc_RNA from 1 species